rnacentral:rRNA from 1 species
UACGUAGGGUGCGAGCGUUGUCCGGAGUUAUUGGGCGUAAAGAGCUCGUAGGCGGCCUGUUACGUCUGCUGUGAAAUCCCGGGGCUUAACCCCGGGCGUGCAGUGGAUACGGGCAGGCUGGAGGCAGGCAGGGGAGAACGGAAUUCCCGGUGUAGCGGUGAAAUGCGCAGAUAUCGGGAGGAACACCGGUGGCGAAGGCGGUUCUCUGGGCCUGUACUGACGCUGAGGAGCGAAAGCGUGGGGAGCGAACAGG